GGUCGGGUGGCGCAAUGGUAGCGCGUUACUUUCCGGUGUCCUCAAUAUCAUUGAUUGGUAAAGGCUCUGGGUUCGAAUCCCAGCUCGAUCG